rnacentral:rRNA from 1 species
AGUGAACGCUGGCGGUAGGCCUAACACAUGCAAGUCGAACGGCAGCACAGUAAGAGCUUGCUCUUACGGGUGGCGAGUGGCGGACGGGUGAGGAAUACAUCGGAAUCUACUUUUUCGUGGGGGAUAACGUAGGGAAACUUACGCUAAUACCGCAUACGACCUACGGGUGAAAGCAGGGGAUCUUCGGACCUUGCGCGAUUGAAUGCGCCGAUGUCGGAUUAGCUAGUUGGCGGGGUAAAGGCCCACCAAGGCGACGAUCCGUAGCUGGUCUGAGAGGCUGAUCGGCCACACUGGAACUGAGACACGGUCCAGACUCCUACGGGAGGCAGCAGUGGGGAAUAUUGGACAAUGGGCGCAAGCCUGAUCCAGCCAUACCGCGUGGGUGAAGAAGGCCUUCGGGUUGUAAAGCCCUUUUGUUGGGAAAGAAAAGCAGCAGGUUAAUACCCCGCUGUUCUGACGGUACCCAAAGAAUAAGCACCGGCUAACUUCGUG